UGUUAAAAAUUUUAUCCAUUUUACUAUAAAAAACAAGUGUGGAUGACAGAAUAAUUAGGCAAGUACCCCUGGCAUGCCACAUGUACAUCAUUCUAACAUACAAUGACCAAUUUUUAACGGUAGAAAUAGAUGAAAAUUUUAACA
rfam:Gossypium arboreum cultivar AKA8401 contig_77772_1, whole genome shotgun sequence.